rnacentral:rRNA from 1 species
GGAUUAGAUACCCGGGUAGUCCUAGCCGUAAACGAUGGACACUAGGUGUGGGCGGAGUCGAAUCUGUCUGUGCCGAAGCCAACGCGAUAAGUGUCCCGCCUGGGGAGUACGGCCGCAAGGCUAAAACUCAAAAGAAUUGACGGGGGCCCGCACAAGCAGCGGAGCAUGUUCUUUAAUUCGAUGCAACGCGAAAAACCUUACCUAGGCUUGACAUGGUGCUGCAAGCGCACAGAAAUGUGUGACCUUCGAGGGUGCACCACAGAUGCUGCAUGGCUGUCGUCAGCUCGUGUCGUG